UCUUGUCACAAGGGGAAAUCAACUGAGUGAUGGUAAACCCGACGAAGGUGGAUAAAUUCCUGGCUCUUUCUGACAGGAGGAAGAGAUUUGGAAAAAAAGAAUAGAAUUUUUCCCCAGAGGUACUGGCAACCACCAUUCCACUUUCUGUCUCAAUGAUUUUCACUACCCUCCGUACCACAAACUCUGCAUUGUGGUGGAAUGGCUGAGCCAACUACAGCAAUGGUCCAUACCAAGGAAGUGACUCAACUGGUCUUCCAACUCCAACCCAGGAACUUACCCAGCAAAGAAGACAACUUCUACAUCACUAUGGUUCCACCCUAAACCCAGCCAACUAGUAGACUCAAUUGCCUAGCACUUUGUCUGCUAAACUAUCUUUAAAAACCCUUUCUCCAAAAUUCUCAGGGAGACAAAUUUAAGAACUUCCUCUGGUCUCCUUGCAUGGCACCUGCAAUAUUAAACUCUUUCUGUAACCCCUGAUAUCUCAAUAUAUUGGCUUCCUCUUGAUCAGUGGGCAAUGAACCUGUUAAAGCCGUUACAUUAUUCAGCAGUAUCUAGUAUUAAAAACUCAAAAAGGGCACUGACUGUUCCUAAAUUAAGAGGCUAUAACCUAAUUAUGAGUCAUAUAUAAAUAUCUUAACAUGACCUUUAUUAAUCCAUUGUACAAAUUAUAGUUAAUAAUUAUGCUAUAUUAUUAAAGAUGAUGUUUCAAGUACCAUGAAAACAAUAUAUAUUCUAUACUUCCCUCCAUAAUAGCAUAUGUAAAGGAAAAAUAAAAAUCUCAGGAUCCCCCAAAACAUUAUGCCAGAAGUAAGAAAUGAGCCUGAGAACUGAG